UACGUAGGGGGCGAGCGUUGUCCGGAAUCACUGGGCGUAAAGGGCGCGUAGGCGGUCUGGUAAGCGUGUGGUGAAAGCUUCGGGCUCAACCCGGAGUCGGCCGUGCGAACUGCGAGACUGGAGCAUGUCAGAGGCAGGCGGAAUUCCGGGUGUAGCGGUGGAAUGCGUAGAGAUCCGGAAGAACACCGGUGGCGAAGGCGGCCUGCUGGGACAUUGCUGACGCUGAGGCGCGACAGCGUGGGGAGCAAACAGG
rnacentral:rRNA from 1 species